rnacentral:misc_RNA from 1 species
AACCAUUCUCACCUGCGGCUAGACCUGCGGAGGGAUCAUUACCGAGUUUACAACUCCCAAACCCCUGUGAACAUACCUAUACGUUGCCUCGGCGGAUCAGCCCGCGCCCUGUAAAAAGGGACGGCCCGCCCGAGGACCCUAAACUCUGUUUUUAGUGGAACUUCUGAGUAAAACAAACAAAUAAAUCAAAACUUUUAACAACGGAUCU